GUAGCGUCACUUCCUGCGUGACCCAGCUGAAGAACUCUCCACAGCACAUCUCCCAGGACUGACUUCUUAUUAACUAACUGAAAAAUAUGUGUUUCCACCCGAGGUCCUGGAUGUCCCCACGUUAUAGGACAACCAUCAGGAUUUUCCUCUGAUUUGAGUGUAGACCAAAGGGACAGCCUAACAGAGACAAACUGCCUAUUAGCUUCAAUAUCCACACCAGGAAUGGACAGUCAACCUGCUCUGAAUCCCAUGGCCUGGCCCUGACAUGAAGCCUUCCACCAUCGACUCUUGCUUCCUUAUCCCAUCUAAAGAGAGAGCUGGAACCAAGAUGCAUUCUCUCCAUUGUUGGAAGGUGGUGCUGAUGAGAUGGAAGAUACACUAGAAGACAGUAAAGGAAGCUGCUAGGCCUUGAACAGCCAGGGUUCCUUACCGACCUGGACAACCUGGCUACUGUAGACUCAAGCAAGAGGAGACACACCUCUUCAUCACUCUUCCCUCAGGCCUUGGCCUGGGUGACAAUUCCUUGGGAAGCAAUCUAGCACCUUCCGGUGACCAUGACUUCCUGUGAGUGCCUACCCUGUCCUCACUGGAGCAUCCAUCAUGGUGUCCUACAAAGACCUUUUCUUAGUUAUGGUUUCUAUGGCUGUGAAGAGACACCAUGACCACCACAACUCUUAGAGAGGAAAACAUUUGAUUGGGACUGGUUUACAUUUCAGAGGUUUAGUCCAUUGUCAUCAUGGCAGGACACGGCUACACACAGGCAGACAUGGUACUGGAGAGGUAGUCAAGAGUUUUACAUCCAGAUCCACAGGCAGCAGGAAGAGAGUG
rnacentral:lncRNA from 1 species